rnacentral:misc_RNA from 1 species
CAAGCACUAACAUGGGUUACAAAAAAGGCCCUAUCUUUACAAACUACCCAGCCCAACAAGAAAUACCAUCAACCCAACAUAAUCGGAGCCCUAGAACCCGAAAACCACCCAUUUGCAACCUAAACAACACAGGAACAAACAUCAACUCAUCGCAAACCAAGAGCUUACGGAUUCGACCAAGACCAACCAGCAAGCGGUAGCCUAAAAUACAGAAAAAUUCCAGUAAGAACAAUAGAGAAGAGACUUCCAUCGAGAAGAAAAGAAAAAACUAGAGAACCAUUAGUGUCUCUUCUCUACCGAAGACACAUUUUAAGCUAAGAUUGGGCUAAUGGAUAGAAGUUUAUUCGGGUGGCAAGCAAAGCUCCAUAGAUCUCUCUAUCGACCAUUUCAGGGAUUGGAUGCUACAGUUGGCAUCUUGGAGAUACCAUACGCCAAAAGUAACCUGAAGAAGCAGAUCUACAAACCCACAGUAGAAGCUCCACCCAUCCCGUCAUCAUCUUUCAUAGCCAUGACUAUGAUCAAGAGUGAAGCAUAGACAACUUGCAACCCUCUCAAUAAGAACCACCUACAAAAACAAACCACAACAAAAGCAAAAACCAAGCUUUAUUUAUUCACAAGCUCCACUAGGAGGUAAAGAGGGACAACCCACA